rnacentral:tRNA from 2 species
AGUAUUAUGUCUGAAUAAAAGUAAUAAAUUGUAAAUUUAUUUAUGAAAAUAGGUUUAUUUUCUAAUACUA